CUAUAUUUUUUGCCCUGGGCUUUGAGAUACUGCUUCAACUUGAGCUUUUGGGGAACUAAUUAGUGUUUCAACAGCACAGCAGAGACAGCAUUUCACAAAGCAAAACUGCUCCCUAAUCUCAGAUAUUUGCCUGCCCAAUUAGCUGGAGGCUCCUUGAUGGCAGAGACUGCCUCCUUGGUAUCCCCAGCACACAGCACAGAACCUGGCACAUACUGUUGCCUCCACGUACCUGAAAUGCCAGUGCUCCAGCUGUCUUGAUUGAGAGGCCUAGUUUGCAAGAAAACAAGACAAAAUACUUUGCUGCCUUAAUUCCAGUGGGAAUUUAAUUUAAUUAGCAUCUGAUUUACACAAUGCACUUCUGACAGCUGUGUUUGUGGAGUCUCUGUGGAAGCAAGAAAUUACCAUCCAUUGAAAUCAUCAUCAAAGCUUAUUUAUCAUCCUGCCAUGUCUUUCCAGCCUUCAGCCUUGGGAACUUCUGUGUGUUUAUUGCACAUUCAUGAAGGUUACAGUAAAUAAUACUCAACAACCCCGAGAGCACAUCACAGUAUGGAGAAAACAUAAGAUCAAAGAAGCAUGCAACACUGAGCUAUCACACGGAGAACACCUGUCUGGGAAGCCACCUAAACUGACAGUGGACUUCUCAAGAGAAAGAAAUAAACUUUCUUGUUUUAGGACACUGA